rnacentral:lncRNA from 1 species
AUGCCCGGAGGGAGCAACCGGCCAAGCCUCCGCGGCGGGAGAGCGCGACGCAGUUGGCGAGACUGGUCCGAAGUCCCGGGCGCGGGCGAGGUCGGCGAGGGGCAGAUAUGCGGAGUGGAAAUGAAUGAGCGGCUCCCCCUCCUCGGGCUCCUCCUCCUCCUCUGGGCUCCGCUCGCCGCCGCCUCCUCCUCCUCCCUCAGCGCCGCCGCCGCCGCGAGCUCCUUCCCAAAUCCAGGACACACACACACAAAGCGGCGGCCGUGCAGCGCUCUGAGCUCCCGCCGCCCCACGUCGGCCCCCGCCCGCCGCCGACUCCGUGCGCGGGGGCUCCGGCUCGCUGAAGGUCAAAGCCGAGCGCGCCGCGCGCCGUGGAGCUCUCGCAGGCGCGGGAGAGGCGUGGAGGGUCCGAGGAGAGGGGCCGAGGGGCUGCGAGCACCAAGCGCGCCGGGACAGGCUCGCUGGCGGCUUCCCUGUCGCUGGCCUCUCUCGAGUUCGCCCGGUGCGCUCCCUCCUCCUCGGUUCCCCCCUCCCCCGCUUUUUUUUUUUUUUCCGCUCAGCGGAGUUAAUGCUGGUAAACAAGAACCUCAGCCUCACCGCGCCGCCGCCGCCACACACUGGGGGCUCUACGCGCGCGCUCUCGGGGCCGCGCACACGUGCCCGCGCGCACACUCCAAGCGUCCACAGCCGCAGUCCCGGCGCGCCGAGGGCCGGGCCCCGACUCGGCAGGCGCCAAGAGCCGGAGUUCGGGAUCGCAGGGACGUGCGGAGCGGAGCGCGGGCGUGGGGAGCCGGGCUAGGGAGGCACCGCCCCCCGCGCCUCCACCCGCGCUGGCCCCCGCGCGCACACAGAGCCACGCGCGCGCCCACGCUUCCGCCCCCACCCGCACUGCGCCGGCCAGCCCUGUACGCACCCACCCCUCCCGCAGGACUCCAAAAAACAAUGCCCCGGGCGCCGGUGGGACUCGGUGGCCCGGGAGGUGGCAGGGCGGGCGGACGAGCAGGCGGGCUGCGGGCGCGGUGGGCGGGGAGUGCGGCCCCGAGCUUCAUUGAAAACAACAACAGCGCGGCUGGAGAGCGCGCUGGCCCGCUCUGUGAAAAAGCUUCAUUGUUUCUUGCAGCUGUUGCAAAAUAA